GCACGAAAGGCGUAACGAUUUGGGCACUGUCUCAACGAGAGACUCGGUGAAAUCAUAGUACCUGUGAAGAUGCAGGUUACCCGCGACAGGACGGAAAGACCCCGUGGAGCUUUACUGUAGCCUGAUAUUGAAAUUCGGCACAGCUUGUACAGGAUAGGUAGGAGCCAUUGAAACGUGAGCGCUAGCUUACGUGGAGGCGUUGGUGGGAUACUACCCUAGCUGUGUUGGCUUUCUAACCCGCACCACUUAUCGUGGUGGGAGACAGUGUCAGGCGGGCAGUUUGACUGGGGCGGUCGCCUCCUAAAAGGUAACGGAGGCGCUCAAAGGUUCCCUCAGAAUGGUUGGAAAUCAUUCACAGAGUGUAAAGGCAUAAGGGAGCUUGACUGCGAGACCUACAAGUCGAGCAGGGUCGAAAGACGGACUUAGUGAUCCGGUGGUUCCGCAUGGAAGGGCCAUCGCUCAACGGAUAAAAGCUACCCCGGGGAUAACAGGCUUAUCUCCCCCAAGAGUUCACAUCGACGGGGAGGUUUGGCACCUCGAUGUCGGCUCAUCGCAUCCUGGG
rnacentral:rRNA from 1 species